AUUGAACGCUGGCGGCAGGCCUAACACAUGCAAGUCGAGCGGAUGAAGGGAGCUUGCUCCUGGAUUCAGCGGCGGACGGGUGAGUAAUGCCUAGGAAUCUGCCUGUUAGUGGGGGAUAACGUCCGGAAACGGGCGCUAAUACCGCAUACGUCCUGAGGGAGAAAGUAGGGGAUCUUCGGACCUCACGCUAUCAGAUGAACCUAGGUCGGAUUAGCUAGUUGGUGGGGUAAAGGCCUACCAAGGCGACGAUCCGUAACUGGUCUGAGAGGAUGAUCAGUCACACUGGAAGUGAGACACGGUCCAGACUCCUACGGGAGGCAGCCGUGGGGAAUAUUGGACAAUGGGCGAAAGCCUGAUCCAGCCAUGCCGCGUGUGUGAAGAAGGUCUUCGGAUUGUAAAGCACUUUAAGUUGGGAGGAAGGGCAGUAAGUUAAUACCUUGCUGUUUUGACGUUACCAACAGAAUAAGCACCGGCUAACUUCGUG
rnacentral:rRNA from 1 species